UCAAAGCUUUCAUGGUGUAGACA
rnacentral:siRNA from 1 species